rnacentral:rRNA from 1 species
CCUACGGGUGGCAGCAGUGGGGAAUAUUGCACAAUGGGGGAAACCCUGAUGCAGCGACGCCGCGUGGGUGAAGAAGUAUUUCGGUACGUAAAGCCCUAUCAGCAGGGAAGAAAAUGACGGUAACUGACUAAGAAGCCCCGGCUAACUACGUGCCAGCCGCCGCGGUAAUACGUAGGGGGCAAGCGUUAUCCGGAUUUACUGGGUGUAAAGGGCGCGUAGGCGGCAGCGUAAGUCUGGAGUGAAAUCCCAUGGCUUAACCAUGGAACUGCUUUGGAAACUGUGCGGCUGGAGUACAGGAGAGGUAAGCGGAAUUCCUGGUGUAGCGGUGAAAUGCGUAGAGAUCAAGAGGAACACUCGUGGCGAAGGCGGCUUACUGGACUGUAACUGACGCUGAGGCUCGAAAGCGUGGGGAGCAAACAGGAUUAGAUACCCCCGUAGUC